rnacentral:tRNA from 1 species
GCGAGCGGUCACCAACGGUCACUAAAAAUGGCCUCUGAACAGGACUUAUGCCAAAUAGGACCUGGUCAGAAAAUCGGCCCGAUCAGCUUCCGAAGCUGAGAACGCGGGUUCGAUUCCCGUCGCUCGCU